UUCUUUCCUCCUACAAAGCUAACUCACCUGAUUUGUCAGAACAGCUUGAAAAUGAAGUGCUAACUGGUGGGUUUUAUUGAAAGGAAACCGAGUGGAACAACAUAUGUAUUUUCUUAGGGAACUCAAAAAGCUCACAGUCAUGUGGCGUUCCUUGGGGUGAAUUCUUUGUUAUGAAUUACAGUCUGCUCACUGAUGAGUUGUUAGUAAAAACGUAGGCCUGCCGGGCCAUUAUUUUUUUCCACACAGUACACACAGUUCAGUUUCCCCCCCUUUUUUUUUAAAGUUUUCAUUAAUGCACCGAGUGUGAAAUAAAUCUGUUUCUAAUUUGUCAUUGUUUUCCCUUCAUCUGGACAAUAAUUUAUUGCCAAAUCUAACACUUGUCCAUUAUUAACAUCCCUCUACCGGGGACGUGUUUUAAUUUUUCUUCCUUUCUUUUAUUUUUCUUACUUUCUUCUCCUCUUCGACUCCCCCUUGCCCACCAUCCCUAUUGUUAAGACUGGAAGAAGCGAAAAGUUACAGCAUGGCAGGGAUUUUGUUUAUGGGUGUGACAUCCGAGUCUGAGUUUGAGGGAUGCUGGGGGUAACUGGUGGGCACGUUGUGUGGAAGGAAGGGAAGCCAGCUGGAGUUGUUCGGAGCUGAGAAAACAGGCUCAGGGAAAACUGUUGAGGAAAACUAGAACCAGAUGGUAACCUGAGGUGCAGGACAACUUUAUUUAGCAUGGCAGUCUUUAUUUAUUUAUUUAUUUUACACACACAUCUGGUCACACUGGGGAGCCUCUAUGCACACUUGUUAUUAUGCUGUUAAUAGUAUAUUUGAUUUGCCAAGGAAUAUUAGCAAUUACGUUCACUAUGUAUCCGAGUAUAUUCAUAUUUUUAGUGGGCCUUUGUGAGGCAUGCUAGUGGUUAAGGCUUUAUGUGGGAAGGGCAGAGGAAUUGCUGUUUGAAGUUCUAGUGGUGUGGAAAAUGUGUCCAUCAAUUAAGGAUUUUAAAGAGGCUGAACCCCCCCAAGAACAUGCCAAAAUGUUGAUGAUAAAUAGCCAGCGGUGUGCUGCCAAUGCAUUCUUGAUUUCAGAAAUAGUCUAGAUUGUCACGGUGCACCCUCCAUGGGCUCAUUCAAGAUGAAGCCAUCUUGAUUUCUCUUGAAGUAAUGAGAAUGAAUAUAAGGAUGGGUUUGGACAUUUAACUUGUUAGCUCAUAUCUACCUUAUCCCUCAAAAUCUAAAACAAAUCUUAAAUUGGUGUGUAGAUAAGAUACAGUUUGUGACGGAAGUGAUAUUUUGAAAAAGAAAAAAAAACCUUUAUCACUUUCUUAUUUUACCAUCCAUUUCUUCAUUCUGAGUUUUGCCUUGAUGUGAUUACAGAAGUAUGUCAUUACAGAAGUAAUUCUCAAGACUUUAUUUGUAAGGUAAGGUAAGUGGGCUCUUACCUUACACUUAGUUGAUUUUGCAGAAUUGUGAGGUAAACCUCAAAUGAUCCUCUAGAAAUCUGAAUUGUCUUAUCUUCACUACCAGAGUUGGUUUCCCCAACCACUGGAGGCCCUUUAUGCAGAGAAACAUCAGCUGCUCUAAACACAUUGCUUGUCCUGACACUUGCAUUCCCUGACAAGGAAGACAGUGUGUAAGAAUGAGGUAUUAGGGCCAGGCCUUCCAGAUACAGCCUCACUGACCUAAGAGUCCCAGACCCUAAAACAGAGGAGAACUGCAAUGUGUCUCUGUGUGUAUAUGUGAAAAGGCAGGCUGUCUCAAGCCUAUUCUGCUGACAAGGAAGGGGACAUUGUCUAGAUAGCCUGUGCCUUUCAGAAAAUAGAGCAUCAUGAUAUUACACAGCAGAACAGAGACUAUUUGCAUCUGAAUUUUAGGGAUAUGAUUUCCGUUGUGGAGCUGGGAGUCAGCUGUAAGUAGGACAUGCCUGGCCACAGAACCUGGGACUGACUGUCCUUAUUAUGCAGCCUGGCCAUAGUGGUGUCACAGGAGGGGACCCUUGUUGGCUUCCUUUUGGACAGUAGAGGGUAGAAUGAGAGAGAACAAAAAAUACACAGCAUAGGAAGUUUGAUGCUAAAAUGUCACCCAAUGUCUUGUUUUCUCUCCAGAACUAGAGAUAUGUACAGAAAAAAAUUCCCUUUUUCAAUUCAGUCAAUAACUACUGAGGACCUACUAUGUGCCAGGUAGCCUCAGUUGCUCUCCUCCUUGGAGACUGUAGUUAUGCAUUAAAAGAAAUCUCGUGUUAUGGCCAACAGGUCACUCUCAUUUCAAGAAAGGGACUCUACAACUUAAGGAUUCCCAAGCCACUCUGAAGGCUGAGAAGCAGAGCUUCAGGCUUUGGGAUUGGUCUGACAGGUUGAAGUCCCAAUUCCCAGUUUGAAGAACAGGGAUGUUAAAGGAUGCGAUCUGGGUUAAAUGAGGUCACUGGGCUGAACUAAUCCAAUACAAGUGAGAUCAGAAGAGUUCCGGGUGCAGGCAAACAAAGAAAUGGCUGUGUGAUGACAUGAUGUCCUUAGUGUUGGGUUUCACUGAGAAGUCUUCAGCUGUGAGGGUGACUGAAGAGUUCCCCAGAGAUUUGCAUUUGCUCCUUCAGAGGGUAGCACUCCCUGGCACCACAGGCCAGCAGAAUGCUGAAGUUUCAAACCUCCGAGUGAACUUGGCAUCGCUCACCUCAGUCUCAGAUACAGCAGAGAUGGGAGUGGGGACCAUCUCAACCGAAAGUGAAUGCAAAUUACCCCGAGACUUAACUGCUCCAGAUGGAACCCACAGGAGGCCCUUAGCAUGGACCGGUCCCAGAGGCUGCUGGCCAAAUGCAAGGAAUCCCAGCGCUUGAGCACAGUCCUUGGAGAGCACUUGAGCACAAAUUAUUUUUAUGACCACAAGUAAUGAUUGAGUUAGAGGCAUUAGAACAUUUAAAGUGAUAUUCACAUGUAAAAAUCUCCAACCAUGUAUCUCUAAAGAAAAUAAGGUUGGAGUAAAGCAAACCACAUUUUGUUUAUCACAAAAAUUUUAACAGCAGACUUAUCAGCCAAUUGUUGGAGAAGUGAAAUAGUCUUUAGUGGUAAUUUUUGUCCUGACCAUUGACUUUCUCUCAAUAGUAGAGCAGGCUUCAAAGUGUUAGUGUGUUAUUUACUAUAGAGUGGUCAAGGGUGCUCUGAGGAGGUCUAAGGAUGCCCUGGAGUCUACACAAUGUAUGCCUGUCACUGUUCCUGAGGCAGAGCUCACGGCAUUCAUGAUACCAUCAGGAGCGCCCAGGCAUCUCUUACUUCUCUCAAAAUGUUUUCAUCAUGACUCUCUUCUGCCUUUGUCGUACUUGCUGGUUCACCUUCUUUCUCUAACUGUUCAUUGAAUUUUGGCUUGGACUACCCUUCCUAAGGAUACACUUCUGCUGAUUUAAAUGCUAUUUCUCCUGCUUCAUGCAAGGAGAAUAAGGGACCAGGAUACUUCAGUUGAUGCUAUAAGAUAUUGAACUACAUUGAAAAAAUAGUUCAUUUAUUCUUUGGCUUACAAAACACUUCAGGAUUUUUGUAUCGAAUUGAAGUUUCAUUCAUUUUCAUUCCCCAAAACAGUAAACAAGGGGUUACUGUGAAGUUUCUUUUUUCUUUCAUUCUUCCUUCUCCUCCUCCUCUCCCUCCUCCUUUCCUUUUCCCCCUCUUCCUCUUCCUCUUCCUCUUCUGCUUCUUCUUCCUCCUCCUCCUCCAAAGGCUGAUGAUUGAACUUGGAGGCUUCCACUUUUAUAUCCUGGGGAAACAUUCUACUGCCAAGCCAUGUUCCUAGCUGUGGAGUUUGGUUGCCUUUGUGAAGUACAGUGAGUGGAAUUAAAGGAGCUUCCAGUGUCGAAAAGAAACGACUUCCAUCCUGUGUGUGUCUCGCCAAUACAGUUACAUCUCUAAUUUUAGGAAGACUGAGAUAAUUCUACAUAUGCGUUUUCUCUAGGUCCAUAGAUGCUCAGUAUUCACAAGGAUGCUCUUCUUGAAUUCAGGGAUGGUGGGAUUUCAGGUGCUUGUCUUACUUUUAGAACUACCUGAUAACAUUUUUAUAUAUUCCAGUGGGAGAUACCAAGGUACACAAACAAUAUGGCACAAGUGUAGAUCUGGUGUAUUAGAAACACACAAGAUAUGUGGAAAAUAGGAUGAUAUGGAAUAUGAGGAAACAGAGUGGUGAUAAGGACAGAUCUACUGGCUACAUCGCAGUGAGUAAGCAUUGACUAAGUGUGUCAGCUAAGUGCAGUGUGAUGGAGACUUCCCCUCACUUAUGAAGAUGAGAUCAUCUAAGGAACAGGGAUGAUAUAUUCAGUUGUCAGAAAGACAAUGCUAGAUUUCUAUCAGAAGAUGCUGGGCCAGAGAGAUGGCUCAGAGGUUAGAAGUGCUGCCUGUUUUCCCAGAGGUCCUGGGUUCAAUUGCCAGCAACCAAUCACUUGGUGGCUCACGACCAUCUGUAAUAAAAUCUGGUGUUGAGGCAUAUGUGUAAGCAGAACACUAUAUACAUAGUAAAUAAAGUUUUUU
rnacentral:sRNA from 1 species